rnacentral:rRNA from 1 species
AUACAUGCAAGUCGAGCGAACGGACGAGAAGCUUGCUUCUCUGAUGUUCAGCGGCGGACGGGUGAGUAACACGUGGAUAACCUACCUAUAAGACUGGGAUAACUUCGGGAAACCGGAGCUAAUACCGGAUAAUAUUUUGAACCGCAUGGUUCAAAAGUGAAAGACGGUCUUGCUGUCACUUAUAGAUGGAUCCGCGCUGCAUUAGCUAGUUGGUAAGGUAACGGCUUACCAAGGCAACGAUGCAUAGCCGACCUGAGAGGGUGAUCGGCCACACUGGAACUGAGACACGGUCCAGACUCCUACGGGAGGCAGCAGUAGGGAAUCUUCCGCAAUGGGCGAAAGCCUGACGGAGCAACGCCGCGUGAGUGAUGAAGGUCUUCGGAUCGUAAAACUCUGUUAUUAGGGAAGAACAUAUGUGUAAGUAACUGUGCACAUCUUGACGGUACCUAAUCAGAAAGCCACGGCUAACUACGUGCCAGCAGCCGCGGUAAUACGUAGGUGGCAAGCGUUAUCCGGAAUUAUUGGGCGUAAAGCGCGCGUAGGCGGUUUAAAAGUCUGAUGUGAAAGCCCAGGUCAAACGUGGAGGGUCAUUGGAAAACUGGAAAACUUGAGUGCAGAAGAGGAAAGUGGAAUUCCAUGUGUAACGGUGAAAUGCGCAGAGAUAUGGAGGAACACCAGUGGCGAAGGCGACUUUCUGGUCUGUAACUGACGCUGAUGUGCGAAAGCGUGGG